rnacentral:snRNA from 1 species
GUGCUUGCUUCAGCAGCACAUAUAUAUGCUAAAAUUGGAACAACACAGAGAAGAUUACCAUGGCCCCCAUGCAAGGAUGACAUGCAAAUUCGUGAAGCAUUCCAUAUUUUU